ACAGCCCUUGUGGAAUAUAAUGGGGAGGGGAGGAGAAGGAAGUAACGUUAAGAGGUGAGGGGAUGCAUGGGGUUGGUGAACAGGGGAGAGGUGAGGAAAGGAACAGGGAGUGGAGGCAGAGGGUAGGAGAACAGGGGAAAGAGGAGAGAGGAUGAAAGGAACAGGGAGUGGAGGCAGAGGGUAGGAGAACAGGGGAAAGAGGAGAGAGGUGGGGAGAGAGGAGGAAAGGAACAGGGAGUGGAGGCAGAGGGUAGGAGAACAGGGGAAAGGAGAGGAUAGGAACGGAGUGGAGGCAGAGGGUAGGAGAUGUGGGGAGAGAGGAGGAAAGGAACAGGGAGUGGAGGCAGAGGGUAGGAGAACAGGGGAAAGGAGAGGUGGGGAGAGAGGAGGAAAGGAACAGGGAGUGGAGGCAGAGGGUAGGAGAACAGGGGAAAGAGGAGGAUAGGAACGGAAUGGAGGCAGAGGGUAGGAGAUGUGGGGAGAGAGGAGGAAAGGAACAGGGAGUGGAGGCAGAGGGUAGGAGAACAGGGGAAAGAGGAGGAUAGGAACGGAGUGGAGGCAGAGGGUAGGAGAUGUGGGGAAAGAGGAGAGAGGAGG